rnacentral:rRNA from 1 species
UACGUAGGUGGCAAGCGUUGUCCGGAUUUACUGGGCGUAAAGGAUGCGUAGGCGGACAUUUAAGUCAGAUGUGAAAUACCCGAGCUUAACUUGGGUGCUGCAUUUGAAACUGGGUGUCUAGAGUGCAGGAGAGGUAAGUGGAAUUCCUAGUGUAGCGGUGAAAUGCGUAGAGAUUAGGAAGAACACCAGUGGCGAAGGCGGCUAUCUGGACCGUAACUGACGCUGAGGCGCGAAAGCGUGGGGAGCAAACAGG